UGCCUUAUGUAUUGACAUAAGGGUAAGGGAUUGUUGUCAACUGUCUGAUUAGCAUUCCAAUCUGGAAUCGAGUC
rnacentral:sRNA from 12 species